rnacentral:rRNA from 1 species
CGUAGGGUGCGAGCGUUAAUCGGAAUUACUGGGCGUAAAGCGUGCGCAGGCGGUUUUGUAAGCCAGAUGUGAAAUCCCCGGGCUUAACCUGGGAAUGGCAUUUGGGACUGCAAGGCUUGAGUGCGGCAGAGGAGACUGGAAUUCCCGGUGUAGCAGUGAAAUGCGUAGAUAUCGGGAGGAAUACCGAUGGCGAAGGCAGGUCUCUGGGCUGACACCGACGCUCAUGCACGAAAGCGUGGGGAGCAAACAGGAUUAGAUACCCUGGUAGUCCACGCCCUAAACGAUGUCGACUGGUUGUUGGGGGUUUGACACUCUCAGUAACGAAGCUAACGCGUGAAGUCGACCGCCUGGGGAGUACGGCCGCAAGGUUA